UUGGGCCUACGGGACGCAGCAGUGAGGAAUAUUGGUCAAUGGGCGCGAGCCUGAACCAGCCAAGUCGCGUGAGGGAGGACGGCCCUACGGGUUGUAAACCUCUUUUGCCGGGGAGCAACGGGCGUCACGUGUGGCGCCACUGAGAGUACCCGGAGAAAAAGCAUCGGCUAACUCCGUGCCAGCAGCCGCGGUAAUACGGAGGAUGCGAGCGUUAUCCGGAUUUAUUGGGUUUAAAGGGUGCGCAGGCGGAGGUGCAAGUCAGCGGUCAAAUUGCGGGGCUCAACCCCGUACUGCCGUUGAAACUG
rnacentral:rRNA from 1 species